rnacentral:lncRNA from 1 species
CUGGCCCUGGGUGUACCCCAACAAUUACGGGCUUGCCCUUGUGCCCUGUGCUCACAGAUACUCCGCCUUUGCCGACACCAACAUCGGUUCUCUUCCCUGGUUUUCCAGUGUCAACACCAACACCUUUGCCCCCGACGCUGACAUGGGUGGCGCCGCUGCCUGGCUUUCCUUUCCCUGCAUCAACAUUCACACCACCCUUUCCUACAUUUACAUUGGUUCCUCCAGGCUUUCCUUUCCCUGCAUCAACAUCCACACCACCCUUUCCUACAUUAACAGCAGUGCCCCCUGGCUUCCCUUUUCCUGCAUCAACAUUUACACCACCCUUCCCUACGGCAACAGAAGUGCUUUUGUCUUCCACCAAGUCUGCAAUUUUAGUGACAUCAAUUAGAAGUGUUUUUCUUUACCUUAGACACAGCCAAAAAAGCUAGCAGAAGUUUCAUUCAAGUUAUUAAAGAGUUUUUUAGAGAGUAGUUCGGUUCUUAAAUUCUCACCU